rnacentral:tRNA from 1 species
AAUGAAAUGCCUGAUUAAAGGGCUACUUUGAUAGAGUAGAUCAAGUAGGCUAUCUACUUUCAUUA